ACUGAUCAAUACCAGACCGCUUGGUGGAAACGAGCCUAGAGUCUCUCAAAAUUAGCCAAAUUACGUGGCAGAAUCGACCCAGUCUGCAGGAAACUAUAGCCUAGCUUGCGUGCUGUUACUCCUGGCAGUUUCUCAUUACAAGGGCCGAGCUGAGCGGCACCCGUUGUGGCUGGUACAAUUACAAGUGACACAAUACUCAAUACUUUGAAUUCCUGUCAGUAAUUCUCAGGAUUCCUGAAGAGGAAAUCAAACCAGAAAACUUCAAAUCAUCUGCAAGCCUCCCCGCAGGCCACAAUCUGCAGUUGUCACCCUACCAUCUGCUGACGGCCUCGCCAUCACUAAUAUCUCCUUCAGGUGCACACCUGACUGUCUAAAGCCAAAGUAGCGAUGAAUCACAUGGGAUCUGGAAAUGUGUGCCCCAGCCCUCUCAACUGUGACUGGAGGAGAUGUAGCAUGAAGUCUUCUCUGUCCCAGACACCAAUUCGUCGCAGAGAUAUGGCUCUGCUCUCUGCCGCUGGGCAUCCAAGAGGAGCAUCUGAUACUGUUUGGCUGAAGAGAGGUUGGGUCUGGCUGGCUGGGCAGGAUGAGCUGGCUGACAGAAGGAGCCUGGUUAGGAUCUGUGCCAUCUCUGAAGUGAGCCAAGAGAUACAAGGAGCUGACUGUCCUCUGGACUGACCCAUGCUUCUAAAAGGCCAUUAGAUGAGAAACCUGGAACUCUUUCACCCUCACAAUUUUUCUUACUGGUUGUACAAAAGUGCUUUUUGGUCUACCUGCCCUGAAUGUGUCAUGUUUCAGGAUUUUCACACGGUCAUUUGAAGAAAACUCUGAUCAGGAAACAGUAGAGUUGGAGGAUAACUACAUUUGUCAGUGCACAGAGGUUUUGAGGGUGAAGUGUCAGCGGCCUUUGGAACCUAUUCUCAUUAAGUGUUCUUAAUGUUACUGUGUUUGAAACUGUGAGUGCCAGAACCUGUAUGGUAAAUGACUGCAUCUCUCCAUGCCAGGUUUAAACUCACCAAUGAUAUCUCGAUAUCUCUCUGAGGAUUAGCAUGGUACUUUACAGUUCAACUGUCUGUUAUGGAACUGAACAUUAACAUGCUUUGUUUGGGUUCAGAGCUGCCGUGCCAAUUUUUGUCAGCAUGAAAAGAAUGCACAACAGUGCUAAUGUCACGCAUAGCCAGGUCUGAGAAGUUUUGCUCUCUUGGUAGGCAGAGCAUUGUACCCGAUGCUCAUUGUCCACACUGUAAAUUAACUGCAGAAGCUAGUGUUAUGUUUCAUUCAUCGUAAUAUUAAAACAAUAAAACUUUCACACCUGUCAGAAA